rnacentral:rRNA from 1 species
UGAGGGAAAGGCGAAAAGAACCCCGGCGAGGGGAGUGAAAAAGAACCUGAAACCGUGUACGUACAAGCAGUGGGAGCCCCACCACCAAAGCAUUCUCUGGUGUUGAAGGCCCUGCAAAGCAGCAUCGCGGUGGCGGAGCGUCGUUUGCGACGCCCAACACACAAAACAAGCGGUGAGUGCUUUGGGGUGGGGUGACUGCGUACCUUUUGUAUAAUGGGUCAGCGACUUAUAUUCUGUAGCAAGGUUAACCGUAUAGGGGAGCCGUAGGGAAACCGAGUCUUAACCGGGCGUUAAGUUGCAGGGUAUAGACCCGAAACCCGGUGAUCUAGCCAUGGGCAGGUUGAAGGUUGGGUAACACUAACUGGAGGACCGAACCGACUAAUGUUGAAAAAUUAGCGGAUGACCUGUGGCUGGGGGUGAAAGGCCAAUCAAACCGGGAGAUAGCUGGUUCUCCCCGAAAGCUAUUUAGGUAGCGCCUCGUGAAUUCAUCUCCGGGGGUAGAGCACUGUUUCGGCUAGGGGGCCAUCCCGGCUUACCAACCCGAUGCAAACUGCGAAUACCGGAGAAUGUUAUCACGGGAGACACACGGCGGGUGCUAACGUCCGUCGUGAAGAGGGAAACAACCCAGACCGCCAGCUAAGGUCCCAAAGUCAUGGUUAAGUGGGAAACGAUGUGGGAAGGCCCAGACAGCCAGGAUGUUGGCUUAGAAGCAGCCAUCAUUUAAAGAAAGCGUAAUAGCUCACUGGUCGAGUCGGCCUGCGCGGAAGAUGUAACGGGGCUAAACCAUGCACCGAAGCUGCGGCAGCGA